rnacentral:rRNA from 1 species
CUAGACCUGAAGUCAGUCGAGGUUACCCGCUGAAUUUAAGCAUAUUACUAAGCGGAGGAAAAGAAAAUAACUAUGAUUCCCUCAGUAACGGCGAGUGAAGCGGGAAGAGCUCAAAGUGAAAAUCGCUGUUUCUUUUGGAACUGCGAAUUGUAGCCUCUAGAGGCGUUGCCAGUGGAAAGGCAGGUCUAAGUUUCUUGGAACAGAACUUCAGAGAGGA